rnacentral:tRNA from 1 species
UCCCUGAUGGCUCAGACAGUAAAGAAUCUGCCUGCAAUGCAGGAGACCUAGAUUCAAUCUCUGGUCAGGAAG